GACGAACCGUGCGAACGUUGUUCGGAUUCACUGGGCUUAAAGGGCGCGUAGGCGGCUUGCCAAGUCAGUGGUGAAAUCUUUCGGCUCAACCGGAAAAUGGCUGCUGAUACUGGCGGGCUGGAGGGAGGUAGGGGCAGAUGGAACUUCCGGUGGAGCGGUGAAAUGCGUAGAUAUUGGGAGGAACACCAGUGGCGAAGGCGGCUCACUGGACCGGUACUGACGCUGAUGCGCGAAAGCGUGGGGAGCAAACGGG
rnacentral:rRNA from 1 species